rnacentral:lncRNA from 1 species
CUUCACAAUACACCAACAUGGGCAUGACUCCCCAUUUCUCCUCAGUCAUGUUCCAACACACAGUACAAGAGGAACAUGCUGGUGUGAAAGGCCAGUGGUCUCAGCCAGGCCUGAGUAAACAGAUUUUCUUUCUCAAAUUCCUACUGAUGGAGAAAGUAAGGAUUCUGGUGUGGCAAAAAAAAAAGAAAAACAAAGUAACUUGUCACUUAGUAAUUCAUGUGGAAAGAGACCUAGCCUACAAGAGGACAUUGUCAGCUGAAUGAAAGAGAUUAAAUUGAUAAGAAAGAAUAGAGGUCUGCUUCCUUCAUUGUCUUGGAAAAUACAUUUGUUAGGCAGCUUUCCA